UGGGGAAUUUUGGACAAUGGGGGCAAUCUUGAUCCAGCCAUGCCGCGUGCGGGAAGAAGGCGCUACGCGUUGUAAACUGCUUUUAAAUCGGAAAGAAACCCCGGGACGUGUCCCGGGUUGACGGUACCGAUGGAAUAAGCACCGGCUAACUUCGUGCCAGCAGCCGCGGUAAUACGAAGGGUGCAAGCGUUAUCCGGAUUCAUUGGUUUAAAGGGUGCGUAGGCGGAACAAUAAGUCAGCGGUGAAAGCCCGCAGCUUAACUGCGGAAUUGCCGUUGAUACUGUUGUUCUUGAGUACGUUUGACGUGGGCGGAAUGUGCCGUGUAGCGGUGAAAUGCUUAGAUAUGGCACAGAACACCGAUAGUGAAGACAGCUCACGAAGACGAAACUGACGCUGAGGCAC
rnacentral:rRNA from 1 species